GCAAAAGGGAUAAAACUGGCAAUUCGCAAGAAAAUCCAAACGGCUGGCCGACCUGCGAAGGAAACAUCACGACCUGUUUGCAUAAAGAAAUGCAAACCUGAAACACCGGGCACGUGCGGUUUAGGGGAGCGGGCAGUCUCACACACUACUGAGUUGUUUCCCAGCAGCCGUCAAUACAGACCUUCCACUGCGUAAGCCCACUGCAUUGCCAUUUAAUAAAACAGCAAGAAAAUGAGAGAGAAAAAUAAUGAGGUAGAAUUGUAUGGGAUUAUUAAGGAUUGAAUUCUCAGUAGAUUUAGUGAAAUAUACAAGUUACUGAAGUUUGUAGAAACGAACUGGUAAGUGUUUUCUCAUUUAUUUGUUUUUUAAGGAUAAACCCAAAUAUAGGUAAAACUGUUGGAAAGGUAGGCAAGAAAUUGUUGAUGAGUUACUUCUAGGGACAAGGAAUGUGGGGUGGAAGAGGGAUUUUUCCCUUCUGCCAUCCAUACUGUGAAUUUCCUUGGCAGAAAUACGUAUUUCUUCUCUGGCAGUAAAAUCAAUGAAUUACUAAAAGUUCACUAAUGUACUCUUUGGUCCAACUAUUCCACUCUCAAGGAACUAAAAAAGCAAAGGAAAUACAGGGAUAUACAGAAGAUUCUAUACAGGGAUAUUCACGGAGCAUCAUUUUUAUCACCAAAAAUGUGCUCCACAGAAAAGAAUUAAACUGUAUUCUGGUAAAUUUACACAGCGCGAUUUUAACUGACUAAUAAAAAUGCUGUAUGAUUUUAACUUUAAAGGAAAAAAUCUGUAAGAUGUGGUUAAUUACCAAAAGGUGUUUACCUAAGGAGCACACAGACUUUAAUACCCCAAAUUAAACUUUAUAUUAUACUCAAGGAGUUAUCAGUGGUUGCUUGCUACACUGAGAAGCUGCUUUAUGUGUUUUAGACUCCCUAGACCAUCAACAGUCUCUUUUUGCCCAGCAGUGCCACAUAAACAUAAUAUACGAAUGAAAACACUGUGCUUCUUAUGAAAAUACACGUUCAAAACAAAUUCCCCAGCAGGAAUAUUGAA
rnacentral:lncRNA from 1 species